ensembl:lncRNA
CAGAGGUUGUUUCUGGUGGGCACAGCAUUUCAAAGACCAGUAAUUUUUGACGACCAGUCAAGGAGAUCUGAAAAAAAAAAAAUCUGAUGGAAAUGGAAACCAAGAAAUCUACCUACCAAAAUUGUCCGAAGCAAUCCGUUUAUCAGGCAAAGAGACAGAUUGAGGCCUUCAAUCAAACGGAGGACUGAGAAAUAUGCAUGCACCAGCCUUAUACACCUGAGUCAGAAAGAAGUGACAACUAGUAGAAAAGUGGCUCUUGAUGAUGAAGUCCCCAGUCCAGAUUGAAGAUCCGAGUUUUAAUCCAUUGUAUUGAGGCUUGACUGGAGGAAAUCAUUUUUGUGGCUCUCUAGAAACACACAUUUUGGAGUGCAUGCAUUAAGCAAGCGUUCGACAGGAUUUCUACAGGGCUGUCAGGUGUCAGAAGGGAAAACCAUCAGCUGCCAGGAAACGGGUGCUUUUGGAACUGUUUAUUGGUGUAAGAAGAAAAAUAUGACCAGCAUGGCUAUGCUUAGAUGAAAGCCACUCAUGGUAGAGAUUCCAUGUUAUGUGGCACACUGAGGUCUAAGUGAAAGAAGACGUCUCUAUGGUAACAGCAUGCUGCCGCAUCUGGGCUAACUCCUCGUCCCAAAGGACCAAUGAAUCUCCAACCGCUCUGUUAUUUAACGUCCACACUUCCUUAUGUUCUAUUCUCUCCAUCCUCCUAUUCAAGCUCAGUCCUCAAGACAAUUCAUCUCUCUCAACUCUACCCUGAAAUGACUUGCUUUUUUAAAAGCCUAUGUCCAUAUACACAUCUUUUGGCUGGACUGUAGGCCAGAGGUGGGACCAAGUCACUAU